UAACACCGUAGGAACGUACCCCAAAGUGAGGGAUAAGCACCAGAAAUGGUGUCUAAUACCGCAUGUGGCCUUCGGGCUAAAGCUUUAUGCGCUUUGGGAACGGCCUGCGCAUGAUUAGCUUGUUGGUGAGGUAAUAGCUCACCAAGGCGACGAUCAUUAGCUGGUCUGAGAGGAUGACCAGCCAGACUGGGACUGAGACACGGCCCAG
rnacentral:rRNA from 1 species